rnacentral:rRNA from 1 species
GACGAACGCUGGCGGCGUGCUUAACACAUGCAAGUCGAACGGAAAGGCCCUGCUUUUGUGGGGUGCUCGAGUGGCGAACGGGUGAGUAACACGUGAGUAACCUGCCCUUGACUUUGGGAUAACUUCAGGAAACUGGGGCUAAUACCGGAUAGGAGCUCCUGCUGCAUGGUGGGGGUUGGAAAGUUUCGGCGGUUGGGGAUGGACUCGCGGCUUAUCAGCUUGUUGGUGGGGGAGUGGCUUACCAAGGGUUUGACGGGUAGGCGGCCUGAGAGGGUGACCGGCGACAUUGCGACUGAGAUACGGCCCAGACUCCUACGGGAGGCAGCAGUGGCGAAUAUUGCACAAUGGGCGGAAGCCUGAUGCAGCAGCGCCGCGUGCGUGAUGACGGCCUGGGGGUGGUAAACUGGUUUCGGCUGUGACGAAGCGUGAGUGACGGUACUGGGUUAAGAAGCACCGGCUAACUGCGUG